rnacentral:snRNA from 1 species
GGAUGUGAGGGCGAUCUGUCUGUGACAUCUGUCACCCCAUUGGUCACCAGGGUUGAUUCGGCUGAUCUGGCUGGCUAGGCGGGUGUCCCCUUCCUCCCUCACCGCUCCAUGUGCGUCCCUCCCGAAGCUGCGCGCUCGGUCGAAGAGGACGACCAUCCCCGAUAGAGGAGGACCGUUCUUCGGUCAAGGGAACACGAGUAGCUGCGCUCCCUGCUAGAACCUCCAAACAAGCUCUCAGUUAGGAAAUGCAGCAUCCACAGACCAUAAUGUGGCCUGAAUAUACUAAGAGUUUUA